rnacentral:rRNA from 1 species
UAGGGAAUCUUCCGCAAUGGACGAAAGUCUGACGGAGCAACGCCGCGUGAGUGAAGAAGGAUUUCGGUUCGUAAAACUCUGUUGUUAGGGAAGAAAAAAUGUAUAGUAACUAUAUACAAAAGAGACGGUACCUAACCAGAAAGCCACGGCUAACUACGCGCCAGCAGCCGCGGUAAUACGUAGGUGGCAAGCGUUGUCCGGAAUUAUUGGGCGUAAAGCGCGCGCAGGUGGUUUAGAAAGUCUGAUGUGAAAGCCCACGGCUCAACCGUGGAGGGUCAUUGGAAACUAAUAAACUUGAGUGCAGGAGAGAAAAGUGGAAUUCCUAGUGUAGCGGUGAAAUGCGUAGAGAUUAGGAGGAACACCGGUGGCGAAGGCGGCUGGUUGGCCUGCAAAUGACACUGAGGCGCGAAAGAGUGGGGAGCAAACAGG